rnacentral:lncRNA from 1 species
AUUCUCCGUGUUAUCUUCCCUCUCAUCCACCGAGCCAGCCGGUAUCUUCUCUUUAGCUAAAAUCCUUACCAACGUUGACGUCGUAGAGCAAAUAUAUCUGAUCCGACUUGCUUUCCAUACACUCAAUCAACUUAAUUAGCUUAUUCUUAAUCUCUUGACGUUUAUGCUUGUGAUAACCCGGUGUAAGGGAAUUAUAGCGGUCAGAAAGUUUCUCAUAACGCUUUUUCAAUUCCAUCAACUCAUUCGUUAAUUGAUUCACUACCGUCUUAAGAGCCUCGCUGGGCGGUUGACUGGGUCUUAACGUCUGAUCAGCAUACAAACAAUUCGAAUGCGAAACCUUCUGCUCCCCUCUUAUCAAGUCUUCUUGACGAGCAUGACACGCAUUGCACUUGCCAACUCCAUGAGCUGCACUUUCAUUGAUAAUGUGUUCCACCUGCUUAAGAACAUGUUUCGGUAAUUCUUCUUCAUUGGGCUCAUCCGGUACUCCAGUCGUUCCAAACUCUGAACCGUUAUGAAAAGUUCCUUGAUUCCAAUCAAAGCCUGCUUCAUUAAGGUAGCUAUCCUCGGCCAAUUUGUUUCCUUUCAUCGAAGAAGAGCUUCUUCGCCUCGGCAACGUUGCUUGUUUCUCCUUUUCAAAAUCACCAUCAUCGGAUAAGAUAUCAGAGUACUCUGAGUCAAGAGAUAUCUCUUCACUACCUUCAUCAGACUCAACCCCCGACGCGACAUUCGGCGAAUCGAAUACGACUUUGCCAGUAAUACGCCUUUUUGAUUUGGGUCUUCUCUUUCGAUGCUUGACAGGACCAGCCUUGUUUGAUUGCGAUAGUUUCAGCUUAAGCUCCAGAGACUUCCUCAUUUCAAUUUCUUUGGCCAAUUCUUUCACCAAGUCUUGGUAUCCCGAAGUCGGUGAAGUGGAGUCUUGUUGAGGAGAGCAAUUUUCUUUGGCAGUUUCCGUUCCAUUGCUCAUUUCUUUAGUGUUUGCGCCGGAUUUGUUUUCAAAUAAUAAGUUGUUGAGCCCGUCUUUCCUUUCGUCUGCUUCAUUCAUGGACAAGGGUUUUGAACUGUUUUCCGCAGUCGACUUUAUUUUGCUUGUUACAUUAGAUUCCUUCUUAUCCAAAUAUGUCUGAAGUUUCUCUUUUAAUACUCGAUUCUCAUUCAAAAGUUCAUUAUUCUCAGAGAUCUUAUUACCCAGACGCAUAAUAUAACUCUCUCGGUCUAAUAAUACGUUCUUAUAAACAGAUUGAAUAUGUUCGUAUUGCUCUUGUAGAGAUUUCAAAUGUUCAGACAAGCGUUCUUUUUCUCGCUUGACUGUGUCAUAGCGAGAAGCAGCCAUACCAUCGUCAACGUUCGAUUCACCAAGUUUUGUAAGCAUCUCCUUUGACAUUCGUUCCUCUAAACUCCUAGCACGUCUUUUCUCCCUGUUAUAGGCGUCAGUAAGAAGUUCUAAUUUGUCUUGGAGUUCGUCAAUUUUUGCGUUGCAUUCAUUACGCUCUCGUUUCAAAAUUUCAAAUUUUUUCUCCAACAACUGGUGAGCAUUGAAAAGUUGUUCAUCUGUGGAAGCAACGGGAAUAGUGUUUAGCUCGGGUAAACGAUCGUGUUCUUUAGCAUUACCGUUUUCAUCUAUUGUAUCAUCGCGAAUUAAAGAAGACAAAUUAGUCAGAUUAGGCAAACGGUAGGAUGUUUGGUUAUUAAAAUCGACACUUGGCUCACUGUGAUUUAGGCCUAGUUGCUCCAUGAGUCUAGCAGAGGCCUUGUAAGAAGAAGGAGUCUCCUUACCUGAAUUAAGGUUUGGUGUAGUCUUUGAGCGAAAGCCGUUUCGUCGCCAUGGGGUAGUGGGUUUGGGAGGCAGAGCCUCUGUAGGUGAAUCAAAUGCUAGAUUUUGAUUUUGACGAUUUGCUAAAGGAGUAUAUUCUGCAGGCUUCUUAAGAAACGAAGGGGAUGCAUCUAAUUUCAGGUUGCCAUGAUCAUCCAAAACACCCUGCUUUUUAAAAGCACCUAGAAAUCUAUUGCGAUAAUCAGGAGUUUCGUUGAGUGCCUGUGGGCGAAGAUCCGGUUCAGAAAUUGGUGGAGACGAUAAAGGAAAUAAAGAUCCAUUCUUACGAAAGCGAUUCCAACUAGUUUCUUCAAAUGCAUUCAUAUUUCGUCCUCUAGGCUUCUCUACACUUGGAAGCGUUUCUAAAGAAGCAUUCAUGGUAAAAUCGUGAAAAUGUUUACUAAGGCUUUUGGUAUUCGGAGUAUCUUGAAAAAAGGGUUCAAAAUCCUCCCGCUUACCAGAUCUUGGUUGAAAAUUUAAAUUGUCCUGAAAACUGUCACCAUUUAGCUCACGAUCAAGGGCCAUACCAACUCGAGCCAUGGUACCAACAUCAUCAUCGGUUGCAACAAAGUUAUCGUUAAAUUGGCUAGGCAUCCAACCUUACAUAUAAAUAUAAAGU